rnacentral:RNase_P_RNA from 1 species
GCGAGUCGGUGGACGGGCCACGGGGGUCUCCUGGGGAAGUUCCUCCCUCAUCGCAGGAUGCAUGGUGCCGAGAGGCACCGCCGGAGACGGCGGGCAACGGAACAGAAACGACACCCCGGUCGCCAUACGCGGUGAUGGGGCGACCCUGAGUUCGGCGGCUUGGGGAUGAAACGGCCGACCCAUGCAGAGCAAGGCCAAACAUGGUCGGGGAAGCGCCUGCGCCAGACCAAGGUAGGCCGCUAAGCUGAAUCCCGUCUAGAACAGGAGGAGGACUACGGCCGAGGACGC